GUGUUAAAUAUAUUAAGAAGUUUAUUGAAAAGACUAUUUUUAAUGUUAUCUUUUUCCUUUAUAAUUAUAUCUAUCCUUUAUAAUUUUAGAACUUACAAUUUUCAGGAAGUCAAGUUCUUAAAUUAAUUUUACAUAAAACAACGAAAUUGCAUUCAAAAGUAUUUUUUGUUUUAUGUAAACUUAAUUUAAGUACUUAACCUCCUGGGAAUUAUGUGCUAAAAUAUAUACAUGUACAUAUAUAACAACACUGUAAUUAUUUUUUAUAACAGCAAUAUAAUAGUUUAUAUUGCCAUUACAAAACAUCUCGGUUAUAGUUAUAUAACAGUUCAGUUCUACGCUAUAUUUAUGUUAUGUAACUACAACAUCACAUGAGUAGGAAAUUAUAACUAACAGGAAUGUUACAUGUAACGUUCAUGUAAUAUUACCUGUUACAUUCCGUUUUAUUGCAGCAAUGUAAUGGUUAUAUAUUGGUGUUUGCUGGGAUACAUGUAUAGAGAUACUACCCAACACUGUUAAUAAUUAUAACCUCUUAUUCUAGUUUGAUAAUAGCUUAAUGUUGUGUAACUUGAACGCGCGAGACGCACAAGUGUUCUUAUAUAUAUAUUUUUUUUUCAUUGAAUAUUACUUCUAGUUAAGACCUAGUCAUAAGCGGCGCAUAUAAAACGCUACGCGACCGAAGUUUAUUUUUAGGUUAAAAAACCUGUCAUAUUUGAGUGUCAGCUUAACGGCACCGAUAGCCUAUUAAUUAUAUUUACUUACGUUGCAUGAUAAUCAAUAAAUAUAAGUUUAUUCGUACAACUGUUUCCAUGUGUUACCUUAGAAAUGUACGAGCUAGAAAAAAAACUCGUCGCAUAUCUAUUAUUCUCAAGAAUAGUUAUCCAAUUGCGUUUAAACAUCUCAUUUUUAGUUUCUUAUGCAUUUACUUUGUGGUUCACGAUUUUAUAAAAAAUUAUGUAUUAUCAAUUAUUAAUAUUUUGCCUCAAGUCCUUUAAGAUAGGAAAAACAAGUUUAUACAUCAUUUACAUAAACUUAUAAAAUUUUAAGUUAUUGCACUUAAGUGCAAACAUCUGCACUUUUAAGUGCAAUGCGAUAAGAACAAAAGAUACAACGCUAAGGCUGGAUCCUCAUGCAGACACCGGCGCUUUAGCACCAGCGCUCAAGCGCUGUUUCAAAUGUUGAGCAACAGCCAAUGAAAGUUGUCAAAUUGAGAACAAUCAAAGCGAUAGUUUUUAUCCAAUUUUCUAAAUAAGCUCCUAACUUUAUUGUGUUUCUUUAUUAUGUUUUUUUGUAUUAAAUGAUAUGCAAAUCUAUUUGAUUUUACAUGUUUUUCACAAAAUUAAAAAAUUCGACUCUCGAGCGGCCACAACAAUUGUCUAGUGACAUUCUAAUGACAAUAGCGUGCCCAAAGUUCGACCGAGUCCAACUUUUUCAGACAGCGCAAAUUCUUUGACACAAGUACAUACAUAUAUAUAAUGAAAGAUAAAAUGGCUAGAUAAUAUAAUAAGUAUAGGCCAUUGUUUAUUUGUGAUUGAACAAGUGCAAGGAUGAAAUGGCUAACUUUCAAAUAAGUACUUCAGUAAAUAUCUUUUUUAAUAAAAUUCCGCAGUAUAUUAUAGAAAUAAAUGUGUAUAAAUAAUAAAUAUAAUUGCACAUUUCAUGUUAUUUAAUAGUGUAAUAAAAUUCUGAAGAAUUACAUUAUGUUAUUUGUUAACAUAAAGUAAUUACAGGGAACAACGUUACGUUAUUGAUAACUGAACGAAUUUUUAAGAAAUCAUGUAAUUUUAUUAAAUAUCCUCACGAAACACAAAUAAAAUUCUAAUUUGAUAAUAGUUCCACUACAUGGAUGGCAUCCCAUAGUUAAACCUUCCAGGGCUUAUUAUUGCUAUAUUUAUACAAGUUAACAUAUAAAUUUUUUUGUAGGAAAACAUCUGUGCAUUAUGUGAUACGGUAAUUAAUAUAGACAUUGUGAUGGACCAUAGCUGUUACGAAGGUUUCAAUAAAAUCCAUGUUGAUGACGCAGGCUACGUGUAUCCACAGCUUGAUGAUGGAAUGAUUGUCGAUCCAAUAAAUGAGAGUCAAGAGGAAUCAUUGACAGAAGUUCUCCGCAAUGAAAUGUUGAUCGGCGAAAUUCAAAAGCGGGAACCUUUGUGGAAUUUUAAAAUUGCUGUUGCCGAAAGGGGCAGAACUACUGUUCAAAAGUUGUGGGAAGAGGUAGUGUCUGCUAUGAACGGUAACGUCAAGGAUGUCAACGAGGCGAAGAACAUAUGGAAGAAAAUGCGCUACAAUUAUAGCCGAAUUGUAACACGGGAGAAUAGUGCCAAAAAAGCGGUUCGGCUGGUAGUAGUAUGAAAAAAAAUAAAUGGCCGUACUAUGAAAUGAUGGCCUUCACUAAGGAUCUUUUCAUCGACAAUCGAAAAAGAAGUUCUAAUAUACCAACAGUAAAUCUUUCGACGAACGAUGACUCGGUUGCAUCAACCAGUUCAUCUUCAUCAGCACCACCCCCAGAGAUAGGGCUGAAAAGAAAACGUAAGUCGAUAUUUUGAUGUUUAGCAAGAUUUGGGGAAGGAUUGUUAGAAAAUGGAGAAAAGUUGUAUUGAAAACUCUUUUACAUUGACAAUACAACAAAUAAAAGAAAAAAAAUUUUUUUAAUUACUUAAAGAAAAAUAAGAUAACUCAGGUGCUAAUUUAAGAGAUACUUUUGUCGCAUGCGCGCAUACAAAUUUUGUACCAAAGAAUUCAGUUACUUGUCAAAAAGUUGUUCUAUUAAGUUCAUGUACUUUUAUAGAACUGUAAAGAACCUCUUCCGAAUAAGAAAAGUUUCGAAACGUUAAUGUCGAAAUACAAAAUUUAUAAUACUGUUUUUUUUUUUUCCAAGAAAGAAUAGUUCUAAAAGAGAAACUUCAUUAAACCUUAUUUUUUCCAGAACGGAUAAGUUUAGAUAGAUAAAACUCAUAAUACUACUUCUUUCAAAGGUACAAUUUUUUUUAGAAAAAGUACGUAGUUUUAUAAAUUUUAUUUAAAAUAUUUUGUUUCAUAAAAGCUACGGUCUGGUGAAUUAUAUUUCGGAAUUUUUCCUUUUCGGAAAAAGGGAGCAUUUCCGUGUUGUUAACUUUUAAUUAUAAGUCGAAAAUAAUCUAACCUUUUUUGGUAUAAUAUAAACAUUGUUACAGGUCGCUCAACCGAGUCAAAUAAUGCAAUGCUGACAAAACUUACUGCUAUGUUGGACGUACCUGCACCGACAUUGCCUGAACUGGUCUUACCACCAUUACCUGUUAUGCCACCGCAAAAUGACGAAAUGGAAAAC
rnacentral:misc_RNA from 1 species